CCACCUCGGCUUCCCGAAGUGCUGCGAUUCACAAGGUCCAUCCUACGGGUUGGAACGCUGAGGGACAGCUGAGUAAGAUUCAAUCAUGCAGAAAGGAUAACAUCCUACAGAAUGGAGAAACAAUAUGACAGGAAUCUGGGUCUCUGAAUCAUGAAGCAGAGCUAUCUAUCUGCCCUGGACCACUUGCCCACCUGUGAGGUAAUAGAGAAAUAAACUUUAAUCUAAUUUAA